rnacentral:piRNA from 1 species
UUAAGUUAUUCAUAACUUUGGGCCUCCAAUA